rnacentral:tRNA from 1 species
GCGCCCGUAGCUCAAUGGAUAGAGUACUGCCCUCCGAAGGCAGGGGUUGCUGGUUCAAUCCCAGCCGGGCGCGCCA